GAUGCCAGGGUCAAAAGGUCUAAGCCCACAUGAGCUUGCUCAUAAGUGGGUGAAAGACCUUGGGACCCGCCCCGAUAUGAGCAUAAAAGCGGGAUGAUAAUCCCGCGAUAUGCGAAUGGCGGAGAGGAUUGUGAGAGUGCUUAGCACGGAACAAUCCGUGGGCAUC
rnacentral:sRNA from 1 species